AUUGAACGCUGGCGGCAGGCCUAACACAUGCCAGUCGAGCGGCUGAAGGGAGCUUGCUCCUGGAUUCAGCGGCGGACGGGUGAGUAAUGCCUAGGAAUCUGCCUGGUAGUGGGGGAUAACGUCCGGAAACGGGCGCUAAUACCGCAUACGUCCUGAGGGAGAAAGAGGGGGAUCUUCGGACCUCACGCUAUCAGAUGAGCCUAGGUCGGAUUAGCUAGUUGGUGGGGUAAAGGCCUACCAAGGCGACGAUCCGUAACUGGUCUGAGAGGAUGAUCAGUCACACUGGAACUGAGACACGGUCCAGACUCCUACGGGAGGCAGCAGUGGGGAAUAUUGGACAAUGGGCGAAAGCCUGAUCCAGCCAUGCCGCGUGUGUGAAGAAGGUCUUCGGAUUGUAAAGCACUUUAAGUUGGGAAGAAGGGCAGUAAGUUAAUACCUUGCUGUGUUGACGUUACCAACAGAAUAAGCACCGGCUAACUUCGUG
rnacentral:rRNA from 1 species